CACAGAGGCAGGUCCUACUAGCCUUGUUGCUGUGGGUCUCAGGUGCCCAUGGGGACAUCACGAUGACUCAGUCUCCAGGCUCCCUGGCUGUGUCUCCAGGUCAACGGGUCACCAUGAACUGCAGAGCCAGUCAGAGUGUUAGCCAAUAUGUC